rnacentral:rRNA from 1 species
UACGUAGGGGGCAAGCGUUGUCCGGAUUUAUUGGACGUAAAGAGCUCGUAGGCGGCUUGUCGCGUCGUUCGUGAAAACCUGCAGCUCAACUGCAGGCUUGCGGGCGAUACGGGCAGGCUAGAGUUCGGUAGGGGAGACUGGAAUUCCGGGUGUAGCGGUGGAAUGCGUAGAGAUCCGGAAGAACACCGGUGGCGAAGGCGGUCUGCUGGGCAGUUGCUGACACUGAGGCGCGACAGCGUGGGGAGCAAACAGG